rnacentral:rRNA from 1 species
AGUGAACGCUGGCGGUAGGCCUAACACAUGCAAGUCGAACGGCAGCACAGUAAGAGCUUGCUCUUACGGGUGGCGAGUGGCGGACGGGUGAGGAAUACAUCGGAAUCUACUUUUUCGUGGGGGAUAACGUAGGGAAACUUACGCUAAUACCGCAUACGACCUACGGGUGAAAGCAGGGGAUCUUCGGACCUUGCGCGAUUGAAUGAGCCGAUGUCGGAUUAGCUAGUUGGCGGGGUAAAGGCCCACCAAGGCGACGAUCCGUAGCUGGUCUGAGAGGAUGAUCAGCCACACUGGAACUGAGACACGGUCCAGACUCCUACGGGAGGCAGCAGUGGGGAAUAUUGGACAAUGGGCGGAAGCCUGAUCCAGCCAUACCACGUGGGUGAAGAAGGCCUUCGGGUUGUAAAGCCCUUUUGUUGGGAAAGAAAAGCAGCAGGUUAAUACCCCGCUGUUCUGACGGUACCCAAAGAAUAAGCACCGGCUAACUUCGUG